AUUGAACGCUGGCGGCAUGCCUUACACAUGCAAGUCGAACGGCAGCACGGGAGCAAUCCUGGUGGCGAGUGGCGAACGGGUGAGUAAUAUAUCGGAACGUGCCCAGUCGUGGGGGAUAACGCAGCGAAAGCUGUGCCAAUACCGCAUACGAUCUAAGGAUGAAAGCGGGGGAUUGCAAGACCUCGCGCGAUUGGCGCGGCCGAUAUCGGAUUAGCUAGUUGGUGGGGUAAAGGCCCACCAAGGCGACGAUCUGCAGCUGGUCUGAGAGGACGACCAGCCACACUGGAACUGAGACACGGUCCAGACUCCUACGGGAGGCAGCAGUGGGGAAUUUUGGACAAUGGGCGCAAGCCUGAUCCAGCAAUGCCGCGUGCAGGAUGAAGGCCUUCGGGUUGUAAACUGCUUUUGUACGGAACGAAACGGCCCUUUCUAAUACAGGGGGCUAAUGACGGUACCGUAAGGAUAAGCACCGGCUAACUACGUGCCAGCAGCCGCGGUAA
rnacentral:rRNA from 1 species